rnacentral:rRNA from 1 species
UACGUAGGGGGCCAGCGUUGCUCGGAAUUACUGGGCGUAAAGGGUUCGUAGGUGGUGCUGCAAGUUGGGAGUGAAAUCUCUGGGCCUAACUCAGAGGCUGCUUUCAAAACUGCCGCGCUCGAGUGCGAGAGAGGUCAGUGGAAUUGCAGGUGUAGCGGUGAAAUGCGUAGAUAUCUGCAGGAACACCCGUGGCGAAGGCGGCUGACUGGAUCGCAACUGACACUGAGGAACGAAAGCUAGGGGAGCAGACAGG